rnacentral:rRNA from 1 species
GAUGAGCGCUGGCGGCAUGCCUAACACAUGCAAGGGGGGCCGGGUCCUCCUCGCGAGGGAGUGGCGCACGGGUGAGUAACGCGUAGGUAACCUGCCUCGAGGCGGGGGACAACUUCGGGAAACCGGAGCUAAUACCCCGUAUGCCCACUGGCUGAGACGCCUGUGGGGAAAGCAGCGAUGCGCCUUGGGAUGGGCCUGCGUCCUAUCAGGUAGUUGGCGGGGUAACGGCCCACCAAGCCUAUGACGGGUAGCCGGUCUGAGAGGAUGGACGGCCACACUGGAACUGAGACACGGUCCAGACUCCUACGGGAGGCAGCAGUGGGGAAUUUUGCACAAUGGGCGAAAGCCUGAUGCAGCGACGCCGCGUGGAGGACGAAGGCCUUCGGGUUGUAAACUCCUUUUCAAGGGGACGAUGAUGACGGUACCCUUGGAAUAAGCCACGGCUAACUCUGUGCCAGCAGCCGCCGUAACAC